rnacentral:rRNA from 1 species
UGAGGAAUAUUGGUCAAUGGGCGCGAGCCUGAACCAGCCAAGUAGCGUGAAGGAUGAAGGUCCUAUGGAUUGUAAACUUCUUUUAUAGCAGAAUAAAGUGACCCACGUGUGGGUUUUUGUAUGUAUGCUAUGAAUAAGGAUCGGCUAACUCCGUGCCAGCAGCCGCGGUAAUACGGAGGAUCCGAGCGUUAUCCGGAUUUAUUGGGUUUAAAGGGUGCGUAGGCGGAAAGAUAAGUCAGCCUGUGAAAGUUUGCGGCUCAACCGUAAAAUUGCAGUUGAUACUGUUUUUCUUGAGUGUACAUAAGGUAGGGUGAAUUCGUGGUGUAGCGGUGAAAUGCUUAGAUAUCACGAAGAACUCCGAUUGCGAAGGCAGCUUACCGGGGUACAACUGACGCUGAUGCACGAAAGUGUGGGUAUCAAACA